UCAGGAUGAACGCUGGCGGCGUGCUUAACACAUGCAAGUCGAGCGAAGCACUUUAAUUUGAUUCUUCGGAUGAGGAUUUUUGUGACUGAGCGGCGGACGGGUGAGUAACGCGUGGGCAACCUGCCUUACACAGGGGGAUAACAGUUAGAAAUGACUGCUAAUACUGCAUAAGACCGCAGUACCGCAUGGUACAGCGGUAAAAACUCCGGUGGUGUAAGAUGGGCCCGCGUCUGAUUAGGUAGUUGGCGGGGUAACGGCCCACCAAGCCGACGAUCAGUAGCCGACCUGAGAGGGUGACCGGCCACAUUGGGACUGAGACACGGCCCAGACUCCUACGGGAGGCAGCAGUGGGGAAUAUUGCACAAUGGGGGAAACCCUGAUGCAGCGACGCCGCGUGAGCGAUGAAGUAUUUCGGUAUGUAAAGCUCUAUCAGCAGGGAAGAAAAUGACGGUACCUGACUAAGAAGCCCCGGCUAACUACGUGCCAGCAGCCGCGGUAAUACGU
rnacentral:rRNA from 1 species